UAUUACGGCCAUAUCACGUUGAAAGCACCGGUUCUCGUCCGAUCACCGAAGUUAAGCAACAUCGAGCCUAGUUAGUACUUAGAUGGGUGACGAUGAUGAUAUAUGACGGGCUUCUUUC
rnacentral:rRNA from 1 species